AGGAAGGGCCACAUUUAACAAAUCCAAACUUGAAGUGUGUCAUACAAUGCAUGAACAUUUCACAAAUCAUCCAACAAAUUCAGGAAAACUCAUGAUGCACCACUUAUUUGGCCGGUACCAAUUAACAGCCGAGGCUCUCAAGGGGUCCAUACACCGACAGACACAUGCCAGGGAACCCCAGAACGAACAGCAGAAAAGCCAGGAAAGACUUCAUACAUCUGAAAAGACGGGAUCUCUCAUUUUCACUAAGUCAGAUUAACCGCUGGGAAAGAAAAGAAUAACAGCUCUGAAGAAUGGACGGUCUCUGCUCAUUAGAAACUCAACCACUUGAGAGGCAUUACUCUACUUGUUCCAAGCCAAACUUCUUUGAAAUCACAUUAUGUAAAAGUCAAGGGGUUUGGCUUAUGUUUUUAUCUGCUUACUUUUUGUACUCCUGUGUGAAAAAGUCUUGUCUUUACAACCAACUAUGUUUUUUUUUUUAUCUUUACAGUAGAGCUAUCUCAAUGUCAAAAAUAAUAAUCUCUUCACGUCAAUUUUGAUCAAUUUUCAGGACUUCAUCUUUUAUAUUUCCAAACUAACAUGGUCAAUAAAGAGUCUGAUUA